GACGAACGCUGGCGGCGUGCUUAACACAUGCAAGUCGAACGGAAAGGCCCUGCUUUUGCGGGGUGCUCGAGUGCGGAACGGGUGAGUAUCACGUGAGUAUCCUGCCCCUGACUUAGGGAUAUAUUUUGGAAACUGCGGCUAAUACCGGAUAGAUGCUUCUGAUCCCUGGUGGCGGUUGGAAAGUUUCGGCUGUUGGGGAUGGAUUCGCGGCUAAUCAGCUUGUUGGUGGGGUAGUGGCUUACCAAGGCAUUGACGGGUCGCCGACCUGGGAGGGUGACCGGACACAUGGGUACUGAGGGACGGCCCAGAAUCGAACGUGAGGCAACGGGGGGGAAUAUUGCGCAAUGGGCGGGAGCGUGAUACAGCAACGCCGGGUGCGUAAUGACGGCCGUCGGGUGGUAAACCGCUUUCGCCUGUGACGAAGCGUUAGUGACGAUAAUGAGUAAGAAAGCACCGGCUAACUACGUG
rnacentral:rRNA from 1 species